AGCGACCGAGAAACAUGCAAAGACAGUAUCUGUAUUGAAUGCUAUGUGCCAGGGAAACGUAUUUACUCAUUCGAUCCUUACAACAACCCACUAUGGGCGUCCCUAUUAUUAUCACGUCCAUUUUACACAUGAAAAAACUGAGGCACAUAGGAGUUAAUUAUGGUGCCCAGAUCUAAGCAACUUUUGAACUUCACUCCCAACAUGUACUAUGAAAGAAGCAAGGGGCACUUGGGUGGCUCAGCCGGUUAAGCGUCCGACUCUUAGUUUGGGCUCAGGUCAUGAUCUCAGGGUCAUGGGAUUGAGCCACCAGUGCGGCUCUGUGCUCAGUGGGGAGUCUGCUUGAGAUUCUCUCUCUCUCUGCCCUUCCUCCCGCUUGCAUGUGCUCUCUCUCUCUCUCAAAUAAAUAAAUCUUUAAUCAGAAAGGAAGGAAGGAAGGAUGGAAGGAAGAAAAAGAAAGAAAGGUAAGAGAUACCUCUAGUGCGAGUGCUUCAUGGUAGCCCAUGGACCAUAUCCCUUAGAUGAUGCUUACACCAUUCUGAAGACUGGCCAGUUUCUUGAGAACAAAGCUUACGUGAUGGAUACUGCUUAAUGCUUUGUCCUUGUUGAGGACAGCACAGACGUACAGACCUCUAAUAAAGGCAAGGAGCUCUAGCUCUAGCCGGUAACUGAGAGCCAGGUUGUCAAACCCCAUCAAUUUACCAACGAGGAAACAGAAUCCAACAGGUUUAACAGAUUUGGUUGGGCCUCCUGGCAUCUCCCGACAACGUGUUCAGUGAUCUGAAGGUGUCAGCCAUUCACCUCCUCUUUCCCACCUUUCUUCAUAUAACCCAUUCCCAAAUUGCUUGAUCCUCAACCUCAAGGUGUGUGGCACAUCGAUAGCCUGGUUUCUGCCCCCGUGUCAACCUGGCUCCUCAUGAUCUCACACUUGAAUGACACGGUGACCUUACCUGGCCCACCUGCCUCAGCCGCCCACCCGGCUCCUGUCCGCAGCUCACAGUCACACACGCUUGUCUGCUCAUCUUCCUCGAAGCCUGGUUCUGAUCUCGACACAAGCCUGGGGCACAAAGCCCUGGAUUCGAAUUCCAGGUGAGAAAACUGCAGCAAAGAGACUUGUCUGGUUCUAUCAUGAACUUGUGACGGAGCCACAGCUGGAAUUCAAGGGCUGUCCUCUUUCCACUUUCUUCAACAUCCACUUUGUCCUCUGGACUUUGAAAUUAUUAAUUUUGGGGCUUUUGGAUGGCUCAGUCAGUUAAGCGUGCCUUCGGCUCAGAUCAUGAUCUCCGGGUCCUGGGAUCAAGCCCCACUUCUCCCUCUGCCCCUCCCUACUGCUCACUCUCUCUCUCUCUCUCUUUCUCUCUCAAAUAAAUAAAUAAAAUCUUUAAAAAAAU
rnacentral:lncRNA from 1 species